UGCUGACGUCAGAGGAUCUUGGCUGAAAGCAGAGAACAUCAGAAAGGUAUUUGCGGGUGUUUCGUUGGCUAUGCAGAUGCAUUUGAGUGUGCGGAUCAUAACAAAUUAUGCUUAACCUUGCGAAGAACGGGAACUCCAGGACACUUAAUUUUGCUCCUGUAGAACCUGCACCUACAACAAGAGGCAGUCAUUCAAACACAACAACAGCAUACUUCUGUGGUUCGACGUCCGGCAAGGUGUGUACCACGGUUGUAUCGGUUCACCAUACUUAUUCAAUCUGUAUGCGGAGCAAAUGACCCCAGAAGCUGGAAGAUAUGACGAAGAGCUUGGCGUCAGGAUCGGUGGAAGAUUCAUUACCAACCUGCGAUAUGUAGAUGGCACAAGCUUGUUUGCUGAAAUCAAAAAGACUGGAAGCAAUUACUCGUGAACAUCAGUAUGGAUUCCACCGCGACAAUAAUAAAAAAGAGAGAGAGAGAGAGAGAGAACUCACAACAGGACCAAUAAGCAACAUGAUGACAAACGGAGAAAAUAUUGAAGAUGUCCAGGAUUUCUGUUUACUUGGCUGCGCGGUCAUCACUCACAGAAGCAGUAAUCACGAAAUCCAAGGACGUAUUGCACCAGGCAAAUUUACUGCAAAAGACCUCUCUGAAGUGUUGAAAACAAAGGCAUCGCUUAGAGGACAAUGGUGCAUCUCACCCAAGGAAUGAUCUUUUCGAUAGCCUCCUGUGCACGCCAAACCUGGAGAAUGAAUAACGAAGACGGAAGAAGAAUUGACGCCUUUCAAUUACGAUUCUGGCAAACAAUACUGAAUAUACCGUGCUGGUACACUGCUUACGCCUUCGCUGCUACCCAAAAGAUUGGCAGAUGAAAUCCACCAGCUGCUCCUUGGAAACUCUAUGGGUCGGUUCUACUCUGACCUUUCAUAGUUUUGCCAUAGGCGGGAACGCAUGGGCAGCGAUGGGUUUGGCUGGCCAGGAGAACCAACCAGUCCGCCUUGGAGGAAGCAGAGCCAGUGUGCUCCUUGGAAGCAAGGAGGAGGAGACUUUGUCUCACAUACUUUGGACAUGUUAUCAGGAGGGACUGGAAAAGGACAUCCCGCUUGGUAAGGUAGAGGGUCAGCGAAAAAGAGGAAGGCCCUCCAUGAGAUGGAUUGACACGGUGGCUACACAAUACGCUCAAACAUAGCAAGGACCGUGGGAUGGCGCAAGACUGGACAGUGUUUGGAUCUGUUGCACAAGGGUUGUGAUGCUUUGCAACUGACUGGACAGCCCCUAAUAACAGCAGCGGCCUCUACGGAAGAUGGCUGCAACAUCUUUCCCCGAAGAGCAGCUGGUGGGCUCCAACCACGGACCUUUCAGUUAACCACUUUCCCACAAGAGCUCCCCUACAAAGAUGACAGCCAGGAAAGGUCUAUGGGGCAUGCCUACCCUGUAACUCAUGGGGUCUCCGUGGCACAAUACAAUAACCAGCUGCCAUCCAGUAGAUUCCGCCUCAUAGAGACCAAGAGGACAGAGUAGAAGUGCCCCAUAGGGCUUCCCAGGCUCUAAAUCCUUACGGAAACCCGCCGUCCUAUCUUUCUCCCGUGGACGGGCCUGGUGGAUUCCGAUCGCUGAACCACUGCCACCGCCGGGGCUCUUUGCAAAAUACUACUUUUUUUCCCCUCUUUUCUUUUUUUAUUGUGCUUUAAGUGAAAGUUUACAAACCAAGUCAGUCUCUCAUACAAAAAUUUGUACACCUUGUUAUAUAUUCCUAGUUGCUCUCCCCCUAAUGAGACAGCACACUCUUUCCCUCCAAUCUCUAUUUUCUGCUCCAUUCGGCCAGCUUCUGACCCACUCUGCCCUCUCAUCUCCCAUCCAGACAGGAGCUGCCCACAUUGCCUCGUGUGUCUGCUUGAUCCAAGAAGCUCACUCUUCACCAGUUUCAUUUUCUGUUCCAUAGUCCAGUCCAGUCCGUUUCUAAAGAUUUGGCUUUGGGAAUGGUUCCAAUCUGGGGCUAACAGAAGGUCUGGGGACCAUGACCUCCGGGGUCCUUCUAAUCUCAGUCGGACCGUUACGUCUGGUCAUUUUCGGGGAAUUUGAGGUCUGCAUCCCACUGCUCUCCUUCUCCCUCAGGGGUUCUCUGUUGUUCCCUGUCAGGACAGUCACCGUUUUUAGCCAGGCAUCAUCGAGUUCUUUUGGUCUCAGGCUGAUGGAGUCUCUGGUUUAUGUGGCCCUUUCUGUCUCUUGGGCUCACAAUUACCGUGUGUCUUUGGUGUUCUUCAUUCUCCUUGCUCCAUCCGGGUGGUUGAGACCAAUGGAUGCAUCUUAGCUGGCCACUUGCUAGCAUUUAAGACCCCGGAUGCCACUCUCCAAAGUGGGAUGCAGAAUGUUUUCUUAAUAGGUUUUAUUAUGCCAAUUGACGUUGAUGUCCCCUUAAACCAUGGUCCCGCGCUGUACUGUUGUUACAAAGUAACAAACAAAAAAAGGAGUUGCCUCCACUACUGUCCCAGACUCAUAGGGACCCUACAGGACAGAGUAGGAAUGGCCCACAUGGUUUGUCAAGGGGCAGCUGGUUGAUUCCAACUGCUGCCCUUCCAGCAGCAGCCAAGCACUUAACCACUGCGCCACCAGGGCUCCUGGCCUUAUACUACAGACGCCAUUUGGGGGUUUCGGUUUGUCUGUUUGCUCUAAGUAGCAACCAAAGUGUGUGGAAGUGGCCCACACUCACGGUAGCGGGCAUUCAACUCCCCCUGCGCACUCACUCCCCUUCCCGGAUCCCCUGGGCUCUUUCUACCGGCAGAUCAUUCCCGCUCCGAAUCCCCGCCUGCCUGUUCCUGGCCCCUUCUCCUCGCCCCACGUUCCUAUUCUGCCACUGCGCUCAGCCUCCGCAACUGUCAUUUACAAACGAAGGCUGCGGGCUCUAGCCACCUUGCAGGCUCCGGGGACGGAGAUUUCCGGAGACCAGGACGCAGAUUUUGCGCUUCUAAAGCGUUCCCAGGACUUGGGAAAUCUGUCGGGCCUGAAUCCACGCUCUGAGCGCAAGUUCCACCCGUCUCUCCGUGGCCCGAAGCUGCACGGUGGAAAUCGCCGCCGGCCCUCGCUCUGGAAACAGCCCCUCCUCGGUUGGGCCCCUUCCGGCCCCGCCCCUUAUCCCACACGCUUCCUAGAGGCUGCACUUUCAGAACCCCGGGCUUCUCCGACACCACCGCUUGACAGCGCGAGAGGUCGCUAACUCGCCUCUCUUCGCAAAGUGUUGUGAAUUUCAAUUCUAAAAGCGCCGAAAAACUAUAUUCAGUGUGCUUGAUCACUGUACAGUGUUUCCACAAAGUUGGACCUCUGGACGCUCCCCCAGCACUGCGGGAGGACCCUCCUUGCUUCUGGCCUCUGCGAUAUUAAAGGCCAUCUCACUUCCUGGUUGCCUGGAGGCCCAGAGGGUGGUGAGCCCCGGAUUGAAGGCGCCACUGGGCGGCGCGGGGCGCCGCUGGGGCUCUCCUGCCUGGCCAGCAUCACUUCCUGUUGAGGAGGAGGAGCAGAUCUAAGAAAGUCAGACUUGCUGUCUGCCUGACGCCCUUGCCUGGACUAAAGCCCACCGACACAGGCGUUACACUCUCCAAGGAUUGCGUUUAUACUAGACGAGGCCAUGGAAACACUAAGGGAUAUCGUGGCUCGCCUUCUCCUUGAGAUCCUCAGUGAAUUUCUUGCGGAGAAGAUAGAGAUCAAUAUAAGAGAGCAAGUAAGGGCAGAGUCAGAUGACCAGCGGAUGGGUUUCUUGGACCGCAUGGUUGCCCCUCUAAUGAAGAAGGUUUUUCAAUUGGUACUGGAGAAGACGGCUCCAGUUCUAUUCAACAGGUUUAUUGUGAAACUAUGGAAAUACGUCAUCACCUACGUUGUGAAAAAGAGGGUGCAUCCUGAACCAAUACAUGUGACGAUAGUUUAAUUACCACUAUCCACGGCGCAGUCGAAGCUUGGACUACUACAAGCAAUCCACGUGGCUUCAACGCUAAGUAAAAGCACCGCAAGAUGGCCUUUUUCUGGCGGAAGGGGAGAUUUCGGUGUUCGCUGACUACCUGGCUGGCCAGUGGUGAGGAUAUUUCUGUCCUCAGCUCUUGGCUCUGCUCGGCUCUGCUCGGCUCUGCUCUGCUCUACUCUACUCUACACUACACUACCCUACAGUACUCUAUUGUCCUCGCCUCUACAGUAGUCUAGUCUGUUGACAAAACCGUGAAUAGGAUGGAGAAGAGAGAUGCUAAGGGGGAUCGUGAGUGCAUUUUUCGAGGAUCACACGGGUGUCGCUCUAACGAAAAAGUUAAUGACAAGGUCCACAGAACCAGUUGAUGUCGUUCUGAGACCAGAUGUCUAUGUCGCUAAUGGAGAUGAUUCUUAUAUUAGUUCUGGGCAACCAGUUCCUCCUGGAACGUUUCAAAACAUCAUCACGUUUUUUGUGUGUGUGAAAAAGAUGAUGCAUAGAAGCCAACCGUUGGGAUUGUGUAUCGCACAGGCAUUUAACCGCCAGAUCGUCGAGAGAUCGUUCUAAAGUAACGUCGUAUAUUCUGGGAGACUGCUCCCAUCCUAUAUUAGCAGCUCGUCAUGUCACCUUCAACAAACAGCAUCACACAUCUCGUUAAGAAGAUGAUGUGCUCAGCCAGCUUGUGGGGUUGCAGUUUAAUUACGAGUUAUCGUUUGCGGACAUAUCUAAACGGGCAGAUCAACGAGAAAACUUUAAAAAACAGCAUCGAAUAUCUUUUUUAAGAGAUGAUGCUUCGGAGACUAACAGCAAUGAUUGACGCAGAAAUAUGAAGUAUAAACCGGCACGAUACGAUAGCCAUAUAUUGGUGGACGAGAUGCCCUGUCUUUGCUUCCUCAGCAGUUACUCCCCGCUCCUAUCAGCAACAGCUGGAGGGACAUUUCUGUUCUCAACCCUUUGCUAUGCUCAUUUUGCCAAAUCUAAAUGCCUGACGAAGAAUAGAGUUUUGAAAUGCAGCAAAUAAAUACACGGAUUUAUCUUUAGUACAUGACAUGGAGUCUCCUGGCCUGAUUUUGUGCUGAUUUCCUUCUCCACUUUGGCUCUGGGUCUCUCUUCUGAACCAUUAGGGAUGGAGGGGGCUGAGAUUGUGGGGGUACACCGUUGAGGGAGAAAGUGUGUGUGGAGUGGGCUGACCAUGAAUGGGGGAGUUUCAGACUGGAAUUAAGAGUCCUGGGGGGAGCACUGAGAACCUGUUGUGUCAGGAAGGGAUGCCGAAGGUUGGGGGGCGGUUCUUAAGAAAGCUCGACGGUUACAGGGUGCAUUUCCUGCUUUGAAGGGAGUUUAGAAAAGGAGGACUAGAGGAACGAUGGCAUCCCUGAUGUCUUCCGUGGGAAAACAGGCACAGGAGAGGCAACAUUGCAGAGGUAAACAUUGCGGGCAGAUGAUGCUGCAGGUGAUAAAAAUUCUGUAGCAAGAGGAACCACUGGAUGGGUUAAGAGAGACCUGACCGGGGGUAGGUGAAAGUGGUCGAGAUCAAUCCAAGUGGAAGGCACACAGCUCCUCUUCCAGGGACCUCUGUGUACAUGGACAGCCUGCAGUGCUCUGGCUCUUUUCUCUCCUGACUCAAAGAAACCAUCCCAUUACCAACAUCUAUGACAGAAACCACUGUAGCCUGUCAGUGGAGAACAAAUGGAGAGAGAAGCACACUUGAUGGGCCCUUUUUUCUCAGUGGCGUUCAGCUGCACAGAGAGACCACCAGUCUACCACCAGUUGCCACAGAACCGACUCUGACUCCUGGAGACCCCAUGUUUUAGAAGUAGAUCCCCAGGCCUUUCUUCACAGGUGCCUCUGGCUGGACAUGAACUUCCAGCCUUGCAGUUUACAGCCCAGCCUUCGGCCAUUUGCACCACCAGGGGCUCGACAGAGACAGGCAGUUCCUCUCACAAUACUGUCUUUUCCUGUCAUGUGGCUGGAAGAACAGGGCACUGACAAGUUCCUUGGAGGUUAAAAAUCUUUAAAACUGGAUUCAUCUGUGCACCCUGGCUUCAAUACGCAAAUAGAAACCUGUGGUUGGUUUAACACAGAACCGACCUCUGGUGGGGCAAAUCUCUACUGAAUAGCCAUGUUUGGUUUCUACUCGAAGUAGCACAUUAAAUGCUGAAAGAAAAAAAAAAUCCUAUAGCGUUAGAGUCAUUUCCGACUCAUAGCGACCCUAUAGGACAGAGAAGAACUCCCCCAUAGGAUUUCCAAAGCUGUGAACUGUAAUUCCACCGUCAAGAAAGAUGUGCCGGCGGCAGAGCACGGCCUGUGCUCUCGAGGUCCCUGGGCUGUGAAGCCCCUAGACCAGGGCCAGUUUGUUGACAAGGACCUGCCCCCAGCGAUGAUACAGACGGAAAGCCUUCUCCUGGAUCUGGCGCCUUGAAUCCAGACUCCUAGCCAGCAUGCAUCUUAACGUUUGUGCCACUGUGGUGGCUUGCAUUUUCUCGUGAUACUGGAAGCUAUGCCACCACUAUUUCAAGUACCAGAGGACUCACCCAUGGUGGACAGGAUUCAGCGGGGCAUCCAGACUAACACAGGCUGAAAAGAAAGACCUGGCAGUUUAUUCUGAGAAGACUGGCCAGGAAAAAUCUUGUGAAUAACAGAGGAACAUUGUCGGAUAUGUUGCCAUAAAAGGAACCCAUCGGGUUGGAAGACACUCAAAACAAGACUGGGGAAGAGCUUCCUAAUCAUUGAACCAAACCAACCAACCAACCAACCAAACAAAAAACCCAUUGCCUUGGGGUCGGUUGUGAUUCAUAGCAACCCUAUAGGACACAGCAGAGCUACCCCAUAGGGUUUCCAAGGAGCACCUGGUGGAUUCAAACUGAGGACCUUUUGGUUAGCAGCCAUAGCACUUAACCACUAUGCCAUCGGGGUUUCCACUCAAAGGACAGUCGACGUUAAUGAUGUAGAUGGGGUCAAGAUUUCAAGAGCUUCAUUUGCUCUUGUGGCACAACUCAAAAUGAGAAAAAAACCCUGCAAACUCCCUUAAUAGUCAGAGUAGGGAAUGUACUGAGUAUGAGUCUAGGAAAAUUGGAACUGGGAAGAAACGAAAAGGAUCACAUAAAGGUGGAUAGCCUACACAUCAAUGAGAUCCAAUGGACCAGUGUUGGCCGUUUUGAGUCAGACGAUCACGUGUUCUACUAUGCCAGGAAUGACAACUUGAAGAGGAAUGGCGUUGCUUUCAUUGCCAAAAGGGGCAAUUCAAGAUCUAUCCUGAAGUGCAGAGCUGUUAGGGAGAGGAAGAUAUCCACACGCUUACAAGGAAGACCAGUUAAGAGGACUGUGAUUCAAAUUUACACACCAAGCACCAAUGCCAAAGCUGAAGAAAUUGAAGAUUUUUACCAACUUGUGCAGUCUGAAAUUGAUCAGCAUGCAAUUAAGAUGCAUCAGUAAUGACUGGUGGCUAGGAUGCAAAGCUGGAAAUAAAGAAGAAGAAGAAUAUGUAGUUGGAAAAUAUGCCCUUGCCGUAGAAAGGACUCCAGAGAUCUCCUGACAAAAUUUGACAAGACCAACGACUUCCUCGUUGCAAAUACCUUUUUUCGAUGACAUAAGUGCCGACUAUACACGUGGACCUCACCACGUGGAAAUCACAGGAAUCAAAGCCACUCUUCCUGUGGAAAGAGACCACGGAAAAGCUCAAUGCCAUCAGCCCAAACAAGGCCAGAGGCCAAAGGCAGAUCAGACCGGCAAUUGCUCAUGUGCAAGUUGAAGAUGAAGAAGAUUAAAACAAGUCUAGGAGAGCCAAGCUAGGACCCUGAGUACAUGCCACCUGAAUUUCAAGACCACCUCAAGAAUAGAUUCGACGCCUUGGACACCAAUAGCGGAGGACCAGCCAAGUUCUGGGAUGACCUCAAGCACGUCAUAGGUGAAGAAAGCAAAAGCUCAUUCAGAACACAGCAAACAGAGAAAAGAACAAAACGGAUGUCAGAAGAGAUUCUGAAAGUUGCUCUUGAACACGGAGUAGCUAAGGCGAGCAGAGGACAUGACGAACUAAAAGAGCUGAGCAGAAGAUUUCAAAGGACGGCAGGAGAAGACAAAGUGUCAGUGAAAUGUGCAAAUAUCUGCAGUUAGAAAACCAAAAGGUGACAAAGGCCCAAAGCCUGUUAAAUGGGGAAAAGACAGUCCCUUUAACAAAUGGUGCUGGCAUAACUGGAUACCCAUCAGCAGAAAAAGGAAGCAAGACCCAUACCUAACACCAUGCACGUACACUAAGUCCAAAUAGAUCAAAGACCUAAACAUAAAAUCUAAAACGAAACAGAUCAUGGAAGAAAAAAUAAGGACGACACUAGGAGCCCUAAUACCUGGCAUAAACAGUAUACAAACAUCACUAACAACCCACAAACACCAGAAGAGACACUAGAUAACGGGGAGCUCCUAAAAAUCAAACAAUUAUGCUCCUCCAAAGACUUCACAAAAAGAGUAAAAAGGCUACCUACAGACUGGGAAGAAGUUUUUGGCUAAGGCCAAUCCAAUCAGCGAAUGAUCUCUAAAAUCUACACCAUACCGCCAAAACUCGACAAGAAAAAGACAAAUAACCCAAGGAAAAAAUAGGCAAAGGAUAGGAACAGGCGCUUCACCAAGGAAGACAUUCAGGCAGCUAAGAGAUACGUGAGGAAAUGCUCACAAUCAUUAGCCAUCAGAGAAAUGCAAAUCAAAACUACAACGAGAUACCAUCUCACCCCAAGAGGCUGACAUUAACCCAAAAAACAUAAAAUAAUAAAUGUUGGCGAGCUUGUGGAGAGACCGGAACACUGACACACUGCUGGUGGGAAUGUAAAAUGGUCCAAGCACUGCGGAAAUCAAUUUGGCGCUUCCAUAAAAAGCUGCAAAUAGCGCUACCAUACCAUCCUGCAAUACCACAACCUGGAAUGUAACCAGGAGAAAUAAGGGCCCUUGCACGAAUGGAUAUAUGCAUACCCAUGUUCAUUGCAGCUCUGUUUACAACGGCAAAAAGAUGGAAGCAACGGAGGUGCCCGUCAAGGGAUGAAUGGGUGAAUAAAUCAUGGCAUAUUCACAUAAUGGAAUACUAUGCAACGACUAAGAACGAGGAAUCCGUGAAACAUCUCAUAACGUGGAGGAAUCUGGAAGGCAUUAUGCUGAGUGAAAUUAGUCAGUUGCAAAAGGAGCAAUGUCGUAUGAGGCCACUAAUACAAGAACUCAAGAAAAAGUCUGAACACCGAAGAAAAUAUUCCUUGAUGGUUAUGAGGAUGGGGAGGGAGGGAGAGGGGUAUUCACUAAUUAGAUAGUACACAAGACAUAUUUUAGGUGAAGGGAAAGACAACACACAGUACCGGGAAGGUCAGCACAACUGGACUAAAGCAAAAGCUAAGAAGUUUCCCGAAUACAACCAAACGCUCGGAAGGCCAGAGCGCAGGGACAGGGGUCUGGGGACCAUGGUUUCAGGGGACGCACAGCUCAAUUGGCAUAACAAAAUACGUGUUAAGGAAACUUCUCCAUCUCACUUUGGUGAGUGGUGUCUGGGGCCUUAAACGCUGGCAAUCGGACGUCUAAGAUACAUCAAUUGUUCUCAACCCACCUGGAACAAAGGAGGACGAAGAACAGCGGAGACACAAGGUAAAUAUGAGCCCGGGAGACAGAGAGGACCACAUAACCAGAGACUCCAUCAGCCGGAGACUGGAAGAACUAGAUGGUGCCCGGCUACCACCGAGGACUCCCCCGAGAGGGAACACACCGGAGAAUCCCUGAUGGAGCAGGAGAACAGUGGGGUGCACACCUCGAACUCUCGUAGAAAGACCAGGCUUAAUGGUCUGACUGAGACUGGGGGGACCCCAGAUGUCAUGGCCCCAGGACCCUCUGUUAGCCCAAGACAGGAAACAUUCCCAAAGCCAACUCUUCAGGCAGGGAUUGGACUGGACUCUAAGACAGAAAAUGAUCCUGGUGAGGAGUGAGCUUCCUGGCUGAAGUAGACCCGGGAGACUAUUGGGGCAAAGACAGAGGGGGACAGGGGCUGGUUGAAUGCAUGCGGGGAAUACAGGGAGGAGAGGAGGAGUGUGCUGUCACAUUAGAGGGAGAGCGGCUAGGGUUCCACAGCAAGGUGUGCAUACAUUUUUGUAUGAGGCACUGACUUGAAUUGUAAACUUUCACUUCAAACACAGGAAAUAAAUAGAAAGAGAAAGAACGAAAACCAAAAGAAAGGAAGAAACCAGGCAUUUUUCCAGAUGAAAGAGCUGAGGAAAAAAUUCAAGCAUCGAGUUGCAAUUUUGAAGGAUUCUAUGGGCAAGAUGUUGAACGAUAGAGACAGCAUUAAAAGAAGAUGGAAGGGAUACACAGAGUCACUGUAUCAAAAAGAACUGGUCGACUUUCAAGCAUUUCAGGAGGUGGCGAAUCAUAAUGAGCCGAAAGCACUGAAGGAAGAAGUCCAAGCUGCACUGAACCCAUUGGUGAAAUCCAAGCCUCCACGAGUUGACAGAAUACCGACUGAGAUGUUUCAACGAAAGGAUGCAGCGCUAGAGGUGCUCCCUCAGCUCUGCCAAGAAACUUGGAACACAGCUCUCUGGCCAACCAACUGCAAGAGAUCCACAUUUGUGCCCGUGCCAGAGAAAGGCGAUCCAACAGAAUGCAGAAAUUAUCCAUCGAUAUCAUUAAUAUCUCAUCCAAAUAAAAUUUGCUGAAAAAAUUAAUAAAACAGUUGCGGCACCACAGGGACAAGGAACUGCCAGAAGUUGGAGUUGGAUUCAGAAGAGGGCGAGGAAUGAGGGAUAUCAUUGCUGACGUCAGAGGAUCUUGGCUGAAAGCAGAGAACAUCAGAAAGGUAUUUGGGGGUGUUUCGUUGGCUAUGCAGAUGCAUUUGAGUGUGCGGAUCAUAACAAAUUAUGCUUAACCUUGCGAAGAACGGGAACUCCAGGACACUUAAUUUUGCUCCUGUAGAACCUGCACCUACAACAAGAGGCAGUCAUUCAAACACAACAACAGCAUACUUCUGUGGUUCGACGUCCGGCAAGGUGCGUACCACGGUUGUAUCGGUUCACCAUACUUAUUCAAUCUGUAUGCGGAGCAAAUGACCCCAGAAGCUGGAAGAUAUGACGAAGAGCUUGGCGUCAGGAUCGGUGGAAGAUUCAUUACCAACCUGCGAUAUGUAGAUGGCACAAGCUUGUUUGCUGAAAUCAAAAAGACUGGAAGCAAUUACUCGUGAACAUCAGUAUGGAUUCCACCGCGACAAUAAUAAAAAAGAGAGAGAGAGAGAGAGAGAACUCACAACAGGACCAAUAAGCAACAUGAUGACAAACGGAGAAAAUAUUGAAGAUGUCCAGGAUUUCUGUUUACUUGGCUGCGCGGUCAUCACUCACAGAAGCAGUAAUCACGAAAUCCAAGGACGUAUUGCACCAGGCAAAUUUACUGCAAAAGACCUCUCUGAAGUGUUGAAAACAAAGGCAUCGCUUAGAGGACAAUGGUGCACCUCACCCAAGGAAUGAUCUUUUCGAUAGCCUCCUGUGCACGCCAAACCUGGAGAAUGAAUAACGAAGACGGAAGAAGAAUUGACGCCUUUCAAUUACGAUUCUGGCAAACAAUACUGAAUAUACCGUGCUGGUACACUGCUUACGCCUUCGCUGCUACCCAAAAGAUUGGCAGAUGAAAUCCACCAGCUGCUCCUUGGAAACUCUAUGGGUCGGUUCUACUCUGACCUUUCAUAGUUUUGCCAUAGGCGGGAACGCAUGGGCAGCGAUGGGUUUGGCUGGCCAGGAGAACCAACCAGUCCGCCUUGGAGGAAGCAGAGCCAGUGUGCUCCUUGGAAGCAAGGAGGAGGAGACUUUGUCUCACAUACUUUGGACAUGUUAUCAGGAGGGACUGGAAAAGGACAUCCCGCUUGGUAAGGUAGAGGGUCAGCGAAAAAGAGGAAGGCCCUCCAUGAGAUGGAUUGACACGGUGGCUACACAAUACGCUCAAACAUAGCAAGGACCGUGGGAUGGCGCAAGACUGGACAGUGUUUGGAUCUGUUGUACAAGGGUUGUGAUGCUUUGCAACUGACUGGACAGCCCCUAAUAACAGCAGCGGCCUCUACGGAAGAUGGCUGCAACAUCUUUCCCCGAAGAGCAGCUGGUGGGCUCCAACCACGGACCUUUCAGUUAACCACUUUCCCACAAGAGCUCCCCUACAAAGAUGACAGCCAGGAAAGGUCUAUGGGGCAUGCCUACCCUGUAACUCAUGGGGUCUCCGUGGCACAAUACAAUAACCAGCUGCCAUCCAGUAGAUUCCGCCUCAUAGAGACCAAGAGGACAGAGUAGAAGUGCCCCAUAGGGCUUCCCAGGCUCUAAAUCCUUACGGAAACCCGCCGUCCUAUCUUUCUCCCGUGGACGGGCCUGGUGGAUUCCGAUCGCUGAACCACUGCCACCGCCGGGGCUCUUUGCAAAAUACUACUUUUUUUCCCCUCUUUUCUUUUUUUAUUGUGCUUUAAGUGAAAGUUUACAAACCAAGUCAGUCUCUCAUACAAAAAUUUGUACACCUUGUUAUAUAUUCCUAGUUGCUCUCCCCCUAAUGAGACAGCACACUCUUUCCCUCCAAUCUCUAUUUUCUGCUCCAUUCGGCCAGCUUCUGACCCACUCUGCCCUCUCAUCUCCCAUCCAGACAGGAGCUGCCCACAUUGCCUCGUGUGUCUGCUUGAUCCAAGAAGCUCACUCUUCACCAGUUUCAUUUUCUGUUCCAUAGUCCAGUCCAGUCCGUUUCUAAAGAUUUGGCUUUGGGAAUGGUUCCAAUCUGGGGCUAACAGAAGGUCUGGGGACCAUGACCUCCGGGGUCCUUCUAAUCUCAGUCGGACCGUUACGUCUGGUCAUUUUCGGGGAAUUUGAGGUCUGCAUCCCACUGCUCUCCUUCUCCCUCAGGGGUUCUCUGUUGUUCCCUGUCAGGACAGUCACCGUUUUUAGCCAGGCAUCAUCGAGUUCUUUUGGUCUCAGGCUGAUGGAGUCUCUGGUUUAUGUGGCCCUUUCUGUCUCUUGGGCUCACAAUUACCGUGUGUCUUUGGUGUUCUUCAUUCUCCUUGCUCCAUCCGGGUGGUUGAGACCAAUGGAUGCAUCUUAGCUGGCCACUUGCUAGCAUUUAAGACCCCGGAUGCCACUCUCCAAAGUGGGAUGCAGAAUGUUUUCUUAAUAGGUUUUAUUAUGCCAAUUGACGUUGAUGUCCCCUUAAACCAUGGUCCCGCGCUGUACUGUUGUUACAAAGUAACAAACAAAAAAAGGAGUUGCCUCCACUACUGUCCCAGACUCAUAGGGACCCUACAGGACAGAGUAGGAAUGGCCCACAUGGUUUGUCAAGGGGCAGCUGGUUGAUUCCAACUGCUGCCCUUCCAGCAGCAGCCAAGCACUUAACCACUGCGCCACCAGGGCUCCUGGCCUUAUACUACAGACGCCAUUUGGGGGUUUCGGUUUGUCUGUUUGCUCUAAGUAGCAACCAAAGUGUGUGGAAGUGGCCCACACUCACGGUAGCGGGCAUUCAACUCCCCCUGCGCACUCACUCCCCUUCCCGGAUCCCCUGGGCUCUUUCUACCGGCAGAUCAUUCCCGCUCCGAAUCCCCGCCUGCCUGUUCCUGGCCCCUUCUCCUCGCCCCACGUUCCUAUUCUGCCACUGCGCUCAGCCUCCGCAACUGUCAUUUACAAACGAAGGCUGCGGGCUCUAGCCACCUUGCAGGCUCCGGGGACGGAGAUUUCCGGAGACCAGGACGCAGAUUUUGCGCUUCUAAAGCGUUCCCAGGACUUGGGAAAUCUGUCGGGCCUGAAUCCACGCUCAGAGCGCAAGUUCCACCCGUCUCUCCGUGGCCCGAAGCUGCACGGUGGAAAUCGCCGCCGGCCCUCGCUCUGGAAACAGCCCCUCCUCGGUUGGGCCCCUUCCGGCCCCGCCCCUUAUCCCACACGCUUCCUAGAGGCUGCACUUUCAGAACCCCGGGCUUCUCCGACACCACCGCUUGACAGCGCGAGAGGUCGCUAACUCGCCUCUCUUCGCAAAGUGUUGUGAAUUUCAAUUCUAAAAGCGCCGAAAAACUAUAUUCAGUGUGCUUGAUCACUGUACAGUGUUUCCACAAAGUUGGACCUCUGGACGCUCCCCCAGCACUGCGGGAGGACCCUCCUUGCUUCUGGCCUCUGCGAUAUUAAAGGCCAUCUCACUUCCUGGUUGCCUGGAGGCCCAGAGGGUGGUGAGCCCCGGAUUGAAGGCGCCACUGGGCGGCGCGGGGCGCCGCUGGGGCUCUCCUGCCUGGCCAGCAUCACUUCCUGUUGAGGAGGAGGAGCAGAUCUAAGAAAGUCAGACUUGCUGUCUGCCUGACGCCCUUGCCUGGACUAAAGCCCACCGACACAGGCGUUACACUCUCCAAGGAUUGCGUUUAUACUAGACGAGGCCAUGGAAACACUAAGGGAUAUCGUGGCUCGCCUUCUCCUUGAGAUCCUCAGUGAAUUUCUUGCGGAGAAGAUAGAGAUCAAUAUAAGAGAGCAAGUAAGGGCAGAGUCAGAUGACCAGCGGAUGGGUUUCUUGGACCGCAUGGUUGCCCCUCUAAUGAAGAAGGUUUUUCAAUUGGUACUGGAGAAGACGGCUCCAGUUCUAUUCAACAGGUUUAUUGUGAAACUAUGGAAAUACGUCAUCACCUACGUUGUGAAAAAGAGGGUGCAUCCUGAACCAAUACAUGUGACGAUAGUUUAAUUACCACUAUCCACGGCGCAGUCGAAGCUUGGACUACUACAAGCAAUCCACGUGGCUUCAACGCUAAGUAAAAGCACCGCAAGAUGGCCUUUUUCUGGCGGAAGGGGAGAUUUCGGUGUUCGCUGACUACCUGGCUGGCCAGUGGUGAGGAUAUUUCUGUCCUCAGCUCUUGGCUCUGCUCGGCUCUGCUCGGCUCUGCUCUGCUCUACUCUACUCUACACUACACUACCCUACAGUACUCUAUUGUCCUCGCCUCUACAGUAGUCUAGUCUGUUGACAAAACCGUGAAUAGGAUGGAGAAGAGAGAUGCUAAGGGGGAUCGUGAGUGCAUUUUUCGAGGAUCACACGGGUGUCGCUCUAACGAAAAAGUUAAUGACAAGGUCCACAGAACCAGUUGAUGUCGUUCUGAGACCAGAUGUCUAUGUCGCUAAUGGAGAUGAUUCUUAUAUUAGUUCUGGGCAACCAGUUCCUCCUGGAACGUUUCAAAACAUCAUCACGUUUU